GUAGGGCGCAAGCGUUGUCCGGAAUUAUUGGGCGUAAAGAGCUCGUAGGCGGCCAGUCGCGUCGGGUGUGAAAGACCGGGGCUUAACCCCGGUUCUGCAUUCGAUACGGGCUGGCUAGAGUGUGGUAGGGGAGAUCGGAAUUCCUGGUGUAGCGGUGAAAUGCGCAGAUAUCAGGAGGAACACCGGUGGCGAAGGCGGAUCUCUGGGCCAUUACUGACGCUGAGGAGCGAAAGCGUGGGGAGCGAACAGGAUUAGAUACCCUGGUAGUCCACGCCGUAAACGGUGGGAACUAGGUGUUGGCGACAUUCCACGUCGUCGGUGCCGCAGCUAACGCAUUAAGUUCCCCGCCUGGGGAGUACGGCCGCAAGGCUAAA
rnacentral:rRNA from 1 species